AUGAAAAUAGAUAAUAAGUGUCAAUGCUGGGCUCUCUAAGAGUUAAAGAUGCAUCGAUAUCUGAUAAUCCAGGGUUAACCUGUCACGAGACCCGUGUGUGAUGUUCAGGGGUUAAAACAAAGAUGCGCACGAGAGAGUCGCUGUUUCCCUCCAUAGACACGAUGCGCUCUUCCACACAGUGCACUCGCUCAUCCUUGUAGGUCCUCAGUCAGUGGUCAGUGUACACACACACACACUUUGCAUCUUCUCCCCGCGGAGGCUUCUCUUCAGCACCCGGCGCGAGAACAGUUCCCUAACUUCACUUCACGUGCUCUCGAGACGCCUCGCGCGCACACUCACGUUCUGUCAUUAUUCAUCGACGGUAAGCUCACGCAAGAAGCCCUAUGUCUGACUGACUGUCUCUGAGAAGAAGAAGAAGACAUAGACAGAGGGAGAGAAAAGAAAGAUAAAGAGAAAGAGAGAAUUUCUCCUCCCCGAGCUGCUUAUUUUCUCUGUCAAGCGUGUAUCAUCUGCUGUGUGGUGAAAAGCGCAGACCUGCGUGGGACCGAAUUCCCGCCGCUCCAAGGAAGCCCCAACCGUACUCUGAAAGGUCUCUGCAUCCUCACCCUGAAGCAUGACCAUUCGUGAUUAGAUGCAUCUAUGUUUGUCAAUACUGCAAUCUGACCAUUAAGUGCAGUCUGAGAGGAAAUGGGAGAAAAGAGGUGAGCACUCAUAUAAUAUUGAUUUUAUCCUUUCCUCGUGUAGAACUAGAACCCAUUUUAUUUGAAAAGUUGAUGUCAAAUUUUGUGACUUAGUUUGUCUUCGGUGCUUAUAGUGCGCUCCAGGGCUGUUCCCUCUCUCACACACAUACAGACAUGAUGAGUAUCAAUAAUUCAUAGGGACUCGUGCUGACCCUGCCUUUAGUGACCUCUGUCAUGUCCUGCCUGCUGCUACUUUAUAAAUAAACAUCUGUUCAUGCCAGGCUUUCGACUGUCGUUCAGACAGGAUAUGUGUGUGUGUGUGCAUUCAGAAGCUGCUCGUUUGGAAGCCCACCAUAUUCCCUGUACAGUACACCUUUGUUACAGCUGACUUCAAUAAAGAGCUUUCUUAACUUAUGCGUAUAAAGUAAUUUUAAGAAUUUGGGUUCAGGAUAUACCAAAUUCCAGAUCUGAAAACACACUCCUCUGUCAAUUGAGGCUAAGCUGCAAAAAUAGCUCAUCCCGAAUUGGAAAACAUUGCUUCAAUAUUUAGUAUUCGACAACUUGGCUACAAUAUUACACUUUAAAUACUGUAGAUCUCAUUCUAAGUGGUGUCUAUGUGCUUGUUAAUUUAUGUCCAAUCUUGAGUGUUCUCUCAUAUUUUUAAAUGACACACAAUGUCAUGUGUGCGGUACGAUGCAA